UGUAAGUUUGCGUGAAUAGUUAAAGGGCUUAAACUAAAGCAAAUUGUCUGACAUUUUGUACAGUAUUUAAAAACCCAACAGAUUUUCCAUCUAUUAACUCAAAAUAUGAUUAAAGCUUUUAAAUUUCGUGCGCAAGCCAUUUUUGGUUUGUUGGAAAAGACACACCCCCCUGGUUCACAAAAUUUGAGUUCGAGAAUUUUUUUUCAUUAUUCUACAUUAUAAGUAC